rnacentral:rRNA from 1 species
UAUCUCUGUAGAGUCUGCAUAUCAAUAAGCGGAGGAAAAGAAACUAACAAGGAUUCCCUUAGUAACGGCGAGUGAAGCGGGAAGAGCUCAAAUUUGAAAUCUUCAAGGUUUUACCUUGACGAAUUGUAGUUUAAAGAAGUGUUUUCUGUUGAAGUUUCGGUAAAAGUUCUUUGGAAUAGGACAUCAUAGAGGGUGAGAAUCCCGUAUUUGACCAUUAUUUCCAGCUUUGUGAUACACUUUCAAAGAGUCGGAUUGUUUGGGAAUGCAGUCCAAAAUGGGUGGUAAAUUUCAUCUAAAGCUAAAUAUUGGCGAGAGACCGAUAGCGAACAAGUACCGUGAGGGAAAGAUGAAGAGAACUUUGAAAAGAGAGUUAAACAGUACGUGAAAUUGUCAAAAGGGAAGCGUUUGACACCAGUGUUGUUUUCUCGAAAAUCAAUUAAAAAUGGCGGGAUUUUGUGUUGUAUUGACUUUAUCAGCUUUCUGCACUUUUUUCCUGUCUUUUUUAAUGCACUUUUCGUUUAACAAGUCAACAUCAAUUUCUUUUGUUGUAAAAGGGUCAUUGGAAGGUGGCUUUCUUUUCGGAGAAAGUGUUUAUAGCCUUUGACUCCUGCAAUCGGAGAGACUGAGGUCUGCAGCGUAGAUCCUUCUGGAUUAGAUUCACUUGUGCUAAGUUAUAGCUUUUCAUAGACAACUUGUUGACUAUGUUUAGUCUUGUAGCUUACUCGCUCGUGUAAUUUUACCUACGCUUAGGAUGUUGAUCUCUCACAGUCGAGC